UUAAGCGACUAAGCGUACACGGUGGAUGCCCUGGCAGUCAGAGGCGAUGAAGGACGUGCUAAUCUGCGAUAAGCGUCGGUAAGGUGAUAUGAACCGUUAUAACCGGCGAUUUCCGAAUGGGGAAACCCAGUGUGAUUCGUCACACUAUCAUUAACUGAAUCCAUAGGUUAAUGAGGCGAACCGGGGGAACUGAAACAUCUAAGUACCCCGAGGAAAAGAAAUCAACCGAGAUUCCCCCAGUAGCGGCGAGCGAACGGGGAGGAGCCCAGAGCCUGAAUCAGUGUGUGUGUUAGUGGAAGCGUCUGGAAAGGCGCGCGAUACAGGGUGACAGCCCCGUACACAAAAAUGCACAUGCUGUGAGCUCGAUGAGUAGGGCGGGACACGUGGUAUCCUGUCUGAAUAUGGGGGGACCAUCCUCCAAGGCUAAAUACUCCUGACUGACCGAUAGUGAACCAGUACCGUGAGGGAAAGGCGAAAAGAACCCCGGCGAGGGGAGUGAAAAAGAACCUGAAACCGUGUACGUACAAGCAGUGGGAGCACAGAGCAAUCUGUGUGACUGCGUACCUUUUGUAUAAUGGGUCAGCGACUUAUAUUCUGUAGCAAGGUUAACCGAAUAGGGGAGCCGAAGGGAAACCGAGUCUUAACUGGGCGUUAAGUUGCAGGGUAUAGACCCGAAACCCGGUGAUCUAGCCAUGGGCAGGUUGAAGGUUGGGUAACACUAACUGGAGGACCGAACCGACUAAUGUUGAAAAAUUAGCGGAUGACUUGUGGCUGGGGGUGAAAGGCCAAUCAAACCGGGAGAUAGCUGGUUCUCCCCGAAAGCUAUUUAGGUAGCGCCUCGUGAAUUCAUCUCCGGGGGUAGAGCACUGUUUCGGCAAGGGGGUCAUCCCGACUUACCAACCCGAUGCAAACUGCGAAUACCGGAGAAUGUUAUCACGGGAGACACACGGCGGGUGCUAACGUCCGUCGUGAAGAGGGAAACAACCCAGACCGCCAGCUAAGGUCCCAAAGUCAUGGUUAAGUGGGAAACGAUGUGGGAAGGCCCAGACAGCCAGGAUGUUGGCUUAGAAGCAGCCAUCAUUUAAAGAAAGCGUAAUAGCUCACUGGUCGAGUCGGCCUGCGCGGAAGAUGUAACGGGGCUAAACCAUGCACCGAAGCUGCGGCAGCGACACUGUGUGUUGUUGGGUAGGGGAGCGUUCUGUAAGCCUGUGAAGGUGUACUGUGAGGUAUGCUGGAGGUAUCAGAAGUGCGAAUGCUGACAUAAGUAACGAUAAAGCGGGUGAAAAGCCCGCUCGCCGGAAGACCAAGGGUUCCUGUCCAACGUUAAUCGGGGCAGGGUGAGUCGACCCCUAAGGCGAGGCCGAAAGGCGUAGUCGAUGGGAAACAGGUUAAUAUUCCUGUACUUGGUGUUACUGCGAAGGGGGGACGGAGAAGGCUAUGUUGGCCGGGCGACGGUUGUCCCGGUUUAAGCGUGUAGGCUGGUUUUCCAGGCAAAUCCGGAAAAUCAAGGCUGAGGCGUGAUGACGAGGCACUACGGUGCUGAAGCAACAAAUGCCCUGCUUCCAGGAAAAGCCUCUAAGCAUCAGGUAACAUCAAAUCGUACCCCAAACCGACACAGGUGGUCAGGUAGAGAAUACCAAGGCGCUUGAGAGAACUCGGGUGAAGGAACUAGGCAAAAUGGUGCCGUAACUUCGGGAGAAGGCACGCUGAUAUGUAGGUGAAGUCCCUCGCGGAUGGAGCUGAAAUCAGUCGAAGAUACCAGCUGGCUGCAACUGUUUAUUAAAAACACAGCACUGUGCAAACACGAAAGUGGACGUAUACGGUGUGACGCCUGCCCGGUGCCGGAAGGUUAAUUGAUGGGGUCAGCGCAAGCGAAGCUCUUGAUCGAAGCCCCGGUAAACGGCGGCCGUAACUAUAACGGUCCUAAGGUAGCGAAAUUCCUUGUCGGGUAAGUUCCGACCUGCACGAAUGGCGUAAUGAUGGCCAGGCUGUCUCCACCCGAGACUCAGUGAAAUUGAACUCGCUGUGAAGAUGCAGUGUACCCGCGGCAAGACGGAAAGACCCCGUGAACCUUUACUAUAGCUUGACACUGAACAUUGAGCCUUGAUGUGUAGGAUAGGUGGGAGGCUUUGAAGUGUGGACGCCAGUCUGCAUGGAGCCGACCUUGAAAUACCACCCUUUAAUGUUUGAUGUUCUAACGUGGACCCGUGAUCCGGGUUGCGGACAGUGUCUGGUGGGUAGUUUGACUGGGGCGGUCUCCUCCUAAAGAGUAACGGAGGAGCACGAAGGUUGGCUAAUCCUGGUCGGACAUCAGGAGGUUAGUGCAAUGGCAUAAGCCAGCUUGACUGCGAGCGUGACGGCGCGAGCAGGUGCGAAAGCAGGUCAUAGUGAUCCGGUGGUUCUGAAUGGAAGGGCCAUCGCUCAACGGAUAAAAGGUACUCCGGGGAUAACAGGCUGAUACCGCCCAAGAGUUCAUAUCGACGGCGGUGUUUGGCACCUCGAUGUCGGCUCAUCACAUCCUGGGGCUGAAGUAGGUCCCAAGGGUAUGGCUGUUCGCCAUUUAAAGUGGUACGCGAGCUGGGUUUAGAACGUCGUGAGACAGUUCGGUCCCUAUCUGCCGUGGGCGCUGGAGAACUGAGGGGGGCUGCUCCUAGUACGAGAGGACCGGAGUGGACGCAUCACUGGUGUUCGGGUUGUCAUGCCAAUGGCACUGCCCGGUAGCUAAAUGCGGAAGAGAUAAGUGCUGAAAGCAUCUAAGCACGAAACUUGCCCCGAGAUGAGUUCUCCCUGACCCUUUAAGGGUCCUGAAGGAACGUUGAAGACGACGACGUUGAUAGGCCGGGUGUGUAAGCGCAGCGAUGCGUUGAGCUAACCGGUACUAAUGAACCGUGAGGCUUAACCUU
rnacentral:rRNA from 1 species